GGAAGCCACUGAGCUUUUCGACAGAUUAAAAGAGAUGAGGUUAUAAAAAUGACGGCAAAUUUAUACCUAAGCAUUUCAACUUUUCAAAAUAACAUUCACAUUUACUGAGCAGAAGAAUCCAAAUUGAGAAUGAUUGCGAAGAUUGCCAAUCUUUUAAUAUUGUUAUUUCUGCUAAUGGGAGCCUCAUCCACUGAUGCACAGGUGAUAUGUCGACAAAUGGAUGAUUACAUCCGAGACCCAUCAGAUUGCGGUGCUUUCUACCGAUGUUUCAAUGGCAGCCCAGUCAGGUUUGUUUGCCCCCGAAAUAUGCUUUUCAGUAGAAGCCGGAAACUUUGUGAUUAUGCCCGUAAUGUCCAAGACUGCAAUAAUUAACAUCAAAAAGGAAAUUGCUGAAAACUUUUACUGACAAAUGAAAUUAAAGAGAACUGAAUAUAGGAAAGAAAAUACUUUAAACUAUCCUCUAAUGAAAAUCAAUCCAAAAUAGGGCUUGUUUUCUUCUAACUCCAGAGAGUCAAAAACACUUUGAAAAUAUGCAAAUAUAAUACUUAAACAAAUAAAAUACUUAAACUUGUCUACUGCUAUCUAACAGUGACAUGAAUAAAUGUUGUAAUUUUUAA